GUGCCAGCAGCCGCGGUAAGACAGAGGGUGCAAACGUUGUUCGGAAUUACUGGGCGUAAAGCGCGUGUAGGCGGUCGGGCAAGUCGGGUGUGAAAGCCCAGAGCUCAACUCUGGAAGUGCAUUCGAUACUGCCUGGCUAGAGUCCCGGAGAGGAUGGUGGAACUCUCGGUGUAGAGGUGAAAUUCGUAGAUAUCGAGAAGAACACCGGUGGCGAAGGCGGCCAUCUGGACGGUGACUGACGCUGAGACGCGAAAGCGUGGGGAGCAAACAGGAUUAGAAACCCCCGUAGUCC
rnacentral:rRNA from 1 species